CCAGAAUGGAGCCAACCCCGCAAGUCUGUCAGCAGCCACGCCUACACCACUUGGGAAAACUCUUGGUCAGACCUUAAGACCAAGCACCCCACACAGCAGCAGGUCCCACAAGGCGAACAAUCCUUUCCAGAAAACUAAGCCCGUGUGGUCGACCAAGCCCUACCCAGGAAAUCAGGAGACCUGGUUCUAACUAGCAAAAAACGAAGGAUGCUGAUCGCAGUAAUAGGUCCAGUAUACGUAUGUGGCCCAGUUCUAGGCAAUGAGAUGUAAGGAAAUGUCUGCAGGAAACUUCUGGGCUCUCUUUCUCUGGUAAAAGAGAUGUGAGAAGAACACUUUUUCUCCUGCUUGCUUUGUUCCUGCUUGGUAUGCUGGUGUGAGGAUGUGAUGCCUGGAGCCACAGCAGCUGUCUUGCAACCAUGAGGGAAGACAUUACUGAUUCAUUGAAUGGUAAAUCAGAGAGGCAGAAAGAGUUUAAGUUCUUGGUGACAUUAUUAAAGUACUGGGCUAAUACUGAAACCACUUACUUCCCCUACCCUUGCUGUGUCAGUUAACUAUUUUUAUGAAUGUUUUACUGAAACCACUAUUACUUGGAGUUUCUCUUAACAGGUAAAUAAUAUGAGAUGACUUUGGGAUGGGACCUGGAUAUGAAUGUUUCAAAUACUCUCAAACCACACUAAUAUGGUUAGAGCUGAGAACCACUUUUCUACCCCAUGAAAAUCUAUAAAGUUUCACAGAAAAGGUUAGGGUGUUCAAAAUAGUAAGAAACUUCUUUAUGGAUGGAGUAUCAGUGGGAAAAUAUCUUGGAGAACAUAGUGUAUGAUUUUCCCUGGGUGAGAUGGUAGGAUCUGGGCCUGUGAGGAUAAGAGAGAAUGGUGUUUGAGUGAGCAAAAUCCCGAGAAGCAAAGGCUAUGUACGAGGAAGGGCAAGUAGUUCAAGUUGGAUGGAGCACAGUGUGUGGAAAGUAGGAGAUGAAGCUGGAAAGAUGGCCUGGGGCCAGGCUGGCUGUUGGAUAGUUGUUCAAUGCCAUGCUAAGAACCUGAUGCCUGACACUGAGAAAGUUCCUAUAGACAGUGGAAGAGAAGUUUAAGACCCAGUCCGUGCCACUGAAAUGCUUCCACAGCAAUUGGAAAGACAAGGGAUGCUCAUGUGAAACUCUCAGGGACACAAAAAAGCCAUAUAUAAACUUCCCAGCAGAUCGCUUGGGGGAGAAAUAGCCUCAGGACAGCAGAGUCUGGAAAGAAGGGUGUGGGGUAGAAUAGGAUCAAGAAUAGUAGGAUGUUAGAGGUGGAAAGAUACCAGUUGCCUCAGUGUCUGAAUUCCUAAAUGAUGCUGGAGUUCCAUUUAUGAUGCUCUCAGAAAAUGAAUCAUCAGACUCUAACCUCAUCUGGGACAAGGGUUUUGCUAGUUUACACCUAUCAUUAGACAAUUUCAAUGAUCAUUCAGUUUUUAUUACAUUAUAGCAGAAUCAGUGUUCUUUAGCCCACUGAACUUAGUUUUGCCCUGUUAGUCUGGGGGGUGGGUUGUGUUGAAUUAUUGGUUUUACUACUCCAUAAUACUGGUACAUCCAGUUUCCUUCCCAUGGCCUCAGAGUAAUUUCUUGACCCUUGACUUUGAGAUGGCUUGAUUUGGGCAAUUGGAGUAUUGGUGGAUGUGAUACCAGAGGAGGCUUUGGUUUUUGUGUCCCUUUUUGUGCUUCUUCCAUCACUAUGAAAAAAUUAUUCCCCAGGGCACCUACUCAUUCUCAAAGAAAAAGGAACAUAGAGAACAAAACUGAACCCAGACCAUGACCUGAAGCCAAGCCCAGGCAAGCCUGUAUCAGAUCAGACAAACUCCAGUUCUCCUGCAGAUACCUACGAGGUAAAUAAAUGUAGUAAUAAGCCGUAGCAUUAAUGUGGCAAUAGCAGACUAAAACAUAGAGCAACAAAGAUUAGGUUUACUCCCUUUUACACCUGAACGCUCUUCAAAUAGAUCGAGGUCAUUAUUAUUCCCUGAAAAUAUUAUCAUUUUGUUCUCAUUUGUCCCCAAUGCUGAUAACCAUUUCUUGUGUGACAUGCAUUGCAAAUCCCUGCUGUAUAUAAUUGCUCACUCUUUCACCCAGAACUGAGCAAACAAUACUCCAGAUGUAAUAUGCCCCUCACAGAUUCUAUUAGGAUCAUCAUUGCCCUUCAACUGAAAAUAAUACUUUAUUACUGCUUAAAAUUGCAUUAAAUGAAAAAGCAGUUCUGUUGUUGGAUCGUAUUGAGCUUUGGGUUAAUUAAAACCCUCUGAUCUUUUCUUACUCAAUUGCUGUCAAUCUAGCUCUCUGACCCUGUAUUUACAUCGUUGACUUCUUGGAUAUUAAAAACAAGAUUCUAUUACACUUAAAUUGUAUAUAGUUGGUUUUGACCUAACAACCUGAACUGCCAAUACAAUUUAAAUCCUUAUUCUGUCAUCCAACACACCAACUACUCCUCCUUUAUAUAUGCCAUCCAUAAAUUGGGUGAGUAUGCCUGCUAUGUCUUUAUCUGAAUCACUGAAGAAAGAAUAUUGAACAUAAAAGGUGUAAAGACAAUAACCUUAUGGCAUAUCUCUAGAGAGAAUGUCUUCCAGGUUGAAGAUAUUCUUCCAGAGCAUAUCUUCCAAGUUAAAUAUAAGUAUGGUUAGUAGACUGAUUUCAAGAAAUCAGCCCUAAAUAUUUAUUGGAAGGACUGAUGCUGAAGGACUGAUACUUUGGCUACCUGAUGCAAAGAACUGAUUCAUUGGAAAAGACUCUGAUGGUGGGAAAGUUGAAGGCAGGAGGAGAAGGGGAUGUCAGAAGAUGAGAUGGUUGAAUGGCAUCACCAACUCGAUGGACAUGAAUUUGAGCAAGCUCUGGGAGUUGGUGAUGGACACGGAAGCCUGGCAGGCUGCAGUCCAUGGGGUCGCAAAGAGUUGGACACAACUGAGCAACUGAACUGAACUGAUGGUUGGGUGAAAUCAGCAACAAAUUCCCUUUUAACCUCACAGUCAUCCUACCUGUGUUUUGGCAUAUCCACGAGUAUUGCGAGUGACAUGAUCAGAAGCCUUGCUUGGAACAAUGUUUAGCAGUGGAGACAUUUUAUAAAGAAUCGAAAUUGGUGGGUACACUAUGAUCUGCUCUUGGAGAACUGAUGUUGAGUCUUAAUAAUGAUUCUUUCCUAUGUGUGAUAUUGUUUAAGAAUCUCUCCCAUAUAACUGUCAGGAAACCACACUGAAAUAAUGUUUCUAGUCUUGAGGAUCUACCUUUACAACUUUUAAGGAAAUUUCUCAUUGAUAUAGUAGCAUAAUUUGGUACAAUGCGCUCUAAGAUGAUGUGUCUUAGGACAUACCCCCCUGCACUUGGCCCAGUUUCCCACAUGGCCUCCUGGACCAGAGGCAUUUGUGCACCAUCCCAAAUCCAUCCUGGCCCCAGCAUGGGCAUACAUUUCUCCCACAGUCAUGAAGCUGGAUUACCACAGCAUCUGCCCAUGUUACAGAUGGAAUGGCCCGCUAAGGACCCACACUUCUCAUGUCCUGCCCCAGGGGUUGCCUACGCCCCUGAGGUGCAAGCUGCUAUCGGACAUCUACUAGGCACCUCCAUGCCUCUGAUCCAGAAGUGCAGAGAAACUGAAGUCCCUUGGACAUCCUUCUUCCUUCCUCCUCGCAGAUGGAUGAUACUGAG